UAGGGUGGGGCGGGGCAAGAUGGGUCGCAUAAGGAUGGAUCACCAUAACUUUGUAAAUACAAACCGUAUUGGUUUGUAUUCGUCCGCUACUCUUUAAUACACUAGUUAGCUAUGCUAAAAGUCGAUAAAAAGUUCAUUAAAUACAAAAUAUGAUGUUAAACGAGCAGUUUUAAAAAGUGACCCAUCUUGCCCCGCGGCCGUUUAUAUGGAGAUUAUAUGGAAUGUAUCGCAUAAGAAAAAUGGCUAAAAACCAUUUUAUUUUUUAUUUCCAAUGAGAGUGAAUAAUUUUUCAAUCAAUGCCCCAAACUUUUGUAUAUUCAUGCUGGUCAUCUAACAAAAUUAUUAAUCUAAACAAAACAUGAGUAAUGCGCCCGAAAAUGGCACUGACCCAUCUUGCCCCGUGACCCAUCUUG